GCUACCAUGCAAGUCGAACGGUAACAUUUCGAGCUUGCUAGAAGAUGACGAGUGGCGGACGGGUGAGUAAUGCUUGGGAACUUGCCUUUGCGAGGGGGAUAACAGUUGGAAACGACUGCUAAUACCGCAUAAUGUCUUCGGACCAAACGGGGCUUCGGCUCCGGCGCAAAGAGAGGCCCAAGUGAGAUUAGCUAGUUGGUAAGGUAACGGCUUACCAAGGCGACGAUCUCUAGCUGUUCUGAGAGGAAGAUCAGCCACACUGGGACUGAGACACGGCCCAGACUCCUACGGGAGGCAGCAGUGGGGAAUAUUGCACAAUGGGGGAAACCCUGAUGCAGCCAUGCCGCGUGUGUGAAGAAGGCCUUCGGGUUGUAAAGCACUUUCAGUUGUGAGGAAAAGUUAGUAGUUAAUACCUGCUAGCCGUGACGUUAACAACAGAAGAAGCACCGGCUAACUCCGUGCCAGCAGCCGCGGUAAUACGGAGGGUGCGAGCGUUAAUCGGAAUUACUGGGCGUAAAGCGCACGCAGGCGGUUUGUUAAGCUAGAUGUGAAAGCCCCGGGCUCAACCUGGGAUGGUCAUUUAGAACUGGCAGACUAGAGUCUUGGAGAGGGGAGUGGAAUUCCAGGUGUAGCGGUGAAAUGCGUAGAUAUCUGGAGGAACAUCAGUGGCGAAGGCGACUCCCUGGCCAAAGACUGACGCUCAUGUGCGAAAGUGUGGGUAGCGAACAGGAUUAGAUACCCUGGUAGUCCACACCGUAAACGCUGUCUACUAGCUGUGUGUGUCUUUAAGACGUGCGUAGCGAAGCUAACGCGCUAAGUAGACCGCCUGGGGAGUACGGCCGCAAGGUUAAAACUCAAAUGAAUUGACGGGGGCCCGCACAAGCGGUGGAGCAUGUGGUUUAAUUCGAUGCAACGCGAAGAACCUUACCUACACUUGACAUGCUGAGAAGUUACUAGAGAUAGUUUCGUGCCUUCGGGAACUCAGACACAAGUGCUGCAUGGCUGUCGUCAGCUCG
rnacentral:rRNA from 1 species